GGAAGAUCGUUACCCUUCGUACGCGGGGCACAUUCAUACAGUCAAAAUAAAACUUGAACGAAACAAAGUACAGUCUGUGCUUUUGUAUGUGUGCAUGAGUCGAGUUACCAACUAUACAUCAACGAAGUUUCGUGAAAUUCGCACCGAUGAGAGUGAAGUUACAGGCAUGGACGUGUUUUCGCGCUCGUUAGUGGGGUACAUUCGGACAGCACUAGAUGGGGCACAUUUGAACGAAUUGUACAACUAAAUUUGUAUGAAAAUUUGUCGGCGCGAACUGUCAUUUUCUUACAAAUUAAGUUUUCGACUUUCUACAUAUCACACUACUGUUAAGGCAUCUUGACUAAGGUUGAUUUUGAUGCUUGUGAACCAGAUGCUGUGAAUAAUUUACCAAUCCAUCAAAUAGUAGUUCCUUCGAAGUCAGUUUUGACACCAGAGGCAUUUCGACCCUAUCCGCAUUUUGUAAGAAGUAAUAAAACAAACAAAAUGACGAUGACGGCCAGGAAAACCACGAAUUUAUACUGCCAAACCCGAAAAUAAGAAGUGCUAAUCCACACCAAAGAGUAAAAAAUGUGAUUUUAAAUUUAAGUUACCUAACUAAUAAAAUUUUGUUUUACAUAAGAAAAGUAUUUUAUUUUUGUUUAAUAGAAGUUAAAUCUUUAUUUUUGUGUUUAAUUUCAUUGCUAAUAAAUGAAUUUUGAACUACCCCACAGCGUAAGAAGGUACCCCCAACACUGUACGAAGGUGCCCCGUUGAUGGGGCAGAUUCGUACGAAUUCCAGAUUUAGUUUAAAUCAUAACUGUGGUUAAAACAUCGGAUGAAAUCAUUUGUCAUUUUUUUAUUUGAAUCUCAGAUAGUUAGACUAUAAAUUUAAGCUAUCAGGUGAUUGAUUCAUGGAAAAAGAAAAAAUUAAAAAAAUAAAAUGUGAAAACCGUACGAAGGGUCCCCACCUUCCCCUACGUCUUU